CCAUGUACAGUCAUGCUACGACGGCAGUUAAGUUUAGGCACUAAAACGUCUAGUUAAGAUCAGAAAAAAGUAUGUGGUUUGGAUAGAAACACU